rnacentral:lncRNA from 13 species
CUGGGUAGUUUUUUCAAAGAGUUGAAUUUGCAAGGGUUCUAUCAGGACUAUUUACAGAUUUACUAUCCCCAUUUGUUCUCUGUUCUUCAUACUCAUUCAAUCCCUGUUGCUAUGGUCUAAAUGUUUAUGUCACCUCCUAAUUCGUAUGUGGGAACCUAAUCACCAACACAGUGGCACUAGAAGGUGGGGCCUUGGAGAGCUGAUUAGCUCAUGAGAGUGAAUACCUCGUGAAUGGGAUCAGUGCCUUAUAAAAGAGGCCACAGAGAGCUAGAUAGCCUCUUUUACCGUGUGAGGACACAGCAAGAAGUUGGCAAUUUGUAAUGGGAAAGAGAGCCCUCACCUGAAUCCAAGCAUGCUGGGACCCCAGUCAUGGACUUCCAAGCUUCCAGAACUAAUACUUUUGGAGAGAAAGUGGAGCAAGAUGACCAAACAGAACACUCCACUGAUCGUCCUCCCUAAAGAACACCAAAUUAAACAACUAUGCACCCAAGAAAAAGGACCUUCAUAAGAAACAAAAAUUAGAUAGUAACCUAUGAGCAACCUCAACACACAAGAAUGAGAAGUUACUUCUGUUUUGAUGUUUUUCUCCUAAAUGAUCUAAGCAAACAGGGCUAUGGCAGAGAGCACAUCUCACUAAGGCCAACUUGGUAGCAGGCCACCUUGAUGCUAUCAAUUUUGCAAUCCCAGCUGGUGUUUCUAUACAGUUUGAAGAGAAGGCCCUGUGCAUGGCCCUUAUGAACUCCCCACUGCUUGCUGAGGUGGAUUAAAAGAUGCAAACUCACUGAAAUACGCCAAAGAAUAUAAUGGUCUCUACAGAAGAUCUGGCUGUAUCAUCCAACAAAAGGUUCCAGCUGUGGCAGCCGUGUGGAACAAAGGGAACUCUUGGCUUAAUGUGGAGUGCGUGCUUCUGACGUUCCAGUUCAGGCAAGAAAUAAAUAAAGCUAUUACAAAGCCCUUGACCA